AGACCCGAAACCCGGUGAUCUAGCCAUGGGCAGGUUGAAGGUUGGGUAACACUAACUGGAGGACCGAACCGACUAAUGUUGAAAAAUUAGCGGAUGACCUGUGGCUGGGGGUGAAAGGCCAAUCAAACCGGGAGAUAGCUGGUUCUCCCCGAAAGCUAUUUAGGUAGCGCCUCGUGAACUCAUCUCCGGGGGUAGAGCACUGUUUCGGCUAGGGGGCCAUCCCGGCUUACCAACCCGAUGCAAACUGCGAAUACCGGAGAAUGUUAUCACGGGAGACACACGGCGGGUGCUAACGUCCGUCGUGAAGAGGGAAACAACCCAGACCGCCAGCUAAGGUCCCAAAGUCAUGGUUAAGUGGGAAACGAUGUGGGAAGGCCCAGACAGCCAGGAUGUUGGCUUAGAAGCAGCCAUCAUUUAAAGAAAGCGUAAUAGCUCACUGGUCGAGUCGGCCUGCGCGGAAGAUGUAACGGGGCUAAACCAUGCACCGAAGCUGCGGCAGCGAACGUAUCACUUAAAGCGAUUCAGCGGGUUACGA
rnacentral:rRNA from 1 species